rnacentral:rRNA from 1 species
GACGAACGCUGGCGGCGUGCCUAACACAUGCAAGUCAACUUGACUGAAGGAGCAAUCUGACAGUAGAGUGGCGCAAGGGUGCGUAACGCGUAAGUAACUUGCCCAAGGUAAGGAAUAACGUCGAGAAAUCGGCGCUAAUACCUCAUAAUGCAGCGGAUCCGCAUGGAUAUGUUGUUAAAGGUUUACCGCCUUGGGAUAGGCUUGCGUCUGAUUAGCUAGUUGGUGUGGUAACGGCACACCAAGGCUACGAUCAGUAACUGGUCUGAGAGGAUGAUCAGUCACACUGGAACUGAGACACGGUCCAGACUCCUACGGGAGGCAGCAGUGAGGAAUAUUGGGCAAUGCUCGAAAGAGUGACCCAGCAACGCCGCGUGGAGGAUGAAGGUAUUCU